GCCAAACAGCUAGCUUUAACCCCUAAAUAAACCAAAUCACAUUAAAAUACCCCAAAUUACUACAAUAAAACAAAUUAAAACAUUUUACCACCCAAGUAUGUGCGACAGAAAGGGAUCACAACUUUAUAAGCCAUAACAAAAGUACCGCAAGGGAACGCUGAAAGAGAAAUGAAAAAAAUCAUCAAAGCACCAAAUAGCAGAGACUAACCCUCGUACCUUUCGCAUCAUGAUUUAGCCAGUCCCCCCGAGCAAAGCGUACUUUAGUUCGAAACCCCGAAACUAAGCGAGCUACCCCGAGACAGCCUAUUAAUUAGGGCCAACCCGUCUCUGUGGCAAAAGAGUGGGAAGAUCCCCGGGUAGAGGUGACAAACCUACCGAGCUUAGUUAUAGCUGGUUACCUAAGAAAUGAAUAGAAGUUCAGCCUCGCCCCCCUCAACUCAAAAAUUAUAACACGAGCCAGAGAGAUACGCGAGAGUUAAUUAAAGGGGGUACAGCCCCUUUAAUUAAGGACACAACCUCCUCAGGAGGCUAAAGAUUAUAUUACACAAGACACCCUGCUUCAGUGGGCCUAAAAGCAGCCACCUAAACAGAAAGCGUUAAAGCUCAGGCAAGACCAGAAAUCUAUUAUCCAAAUAUUCAAUCUUAAACCCCUAAUAAUAUUAGGUCCUUCUAUGCCAACAUAGAAAAGAUACUGCUAAAAUGAGUAAUAAGAAGGAACCCCCUUCUCCCAAGCCCACGUGUACGUUAGAUCGGACCCCCCACUAACAACUAUCGAGCCCAAUUAAAGAGGGCAAUGUGACCACACCACAAACCAAGAAAUUCUCACAUAAUAAUAAUCGUUAAUCCAACACCGGAGGGCCCAUCAAAGGGAAAGACUAAAAGAAAAAGAAGGAACUCGGCAAACACAAGCCUCGCCUGUUUACCAAAAACAUCGCCUCCUGCAAAUCAACGUAUAGGAGGUCUUACCUGCCCAGUGACAAGUUAAACGGCCGCGGUAUUUUGACCGUGCGAAGGUAGCGCAAUCACUUGUCUUUUAAAUGAAGACCUGUAUGAAUGGUGGAACGAGGGCUUAACUGUCUCCUUUUUCAAGUCAAUGAAAUUGAUCUGCCCGUGCAGAAGCGGACAUAUAAAUACAAGACGAGAAGACCCUUUGGAGCUUAAGAUACAAGAUCAACUACGUCAAGAACCCAAGUUAAACUAAAUAGCCCCUGAUCAGCUAUCUUCGGUUGGGGCGACCGCGGGAGAAAACAAAGCUCCCAAGAGGACUGGGGUAACCCCUAAUACCAAGAGAAACAUCUCUAAGACACAGAACAUCUGACCAUAAAGAUCCGGCUACCCGCCGACCAACGGACCAAGUUACCCUAGGGAUAACAGCGCAAUCCUCUUCCAGAGUCCAUAUCGACAAGAGGGUUUACGACCUCGAUGUUGGAUCAGGACAUCCUAAUGGUGCAGCCGCUAUUAAGGGUUCGUUUGUUCAACGAUUAAAGUCCUACGUGAUCUGAGUUCAGACCGGAGUAAUCCAGGUCAGUUUCUAUCUGUAAAUGCCACUCUUCCUAGUACGAAAGGACCGGAAAAAGGGGGCCCAUAUUAUUACACGCCCCACCCUAACUUAAUGACAUCAACUAAAUUAAACAAAAGGAGGGCAUAAACCCUACAUCAAGAUAAGAUUU
rnacentral:rRNA from 1 species